CCUACGGGAGGCAGCAGUGAGGAAUAUUGCACAAUGGGCGCAAGCCUGAUGCAGCAACGCCGCGUGGGCGAUGAAGGCCUUCGGGUCGUAAAGCCCUUUUCUGAGGGAAGAGGAAGGACGGUACCUCAGGAAUAAGGUUCGGCUAACUACGUGCCAGCAGCCGCGGUAAU
rnacentral:rRNA from 1 species